AGCUGUUUCCCCGUCACGUAGGCGCGCGGGUCACUGGCGGUCUGGAGGCUCUGUACGUGUGACGGGCGGGAAGAGGGUGGACGUACGUUUGCGAACGUAAACACUUAAUGCUGUGAGGAAACUAAACCCAUCUCUUCGAAAGGAAGGAAGGAAGGAAGGAAGAUUAGUGGAAUGCCUUUCACAUAUGGAGGAUGUGAAAAAUGACUUGACAUUUCUGGAUGGGCAGCAGAGCUACGAAGUUGCUGCCUCAAAAGGAGCAAACAUCAAGCCACAUCAAAAGUAUUGAAUGUCUAAGGAGUUUUGCAACAAUGACUUGUGAGAGCAAGAAGAGGUUCAUAGUGGAAAAAUCAGAGCACAAUUCAUUAACUCAUGCAUUCUGCAUAAACAAUCAUUAAGUAAAUGCAGUUAACUUUGAAUUGAGCAUUCGGAUAUACAGUUAUGAUAAUAAAGCACCUUAUUACA